AGAGGGACGAGGAGACUGGGAAGGAACCAACUAUUCUACAACUUUGGUAGAUCACUCAUACACGAAAUGGAUCGUGGUCUAAUGAAGAAUCACAGACUGUUUAUGACAAUGCACGCAGCCAGAUUAGGGAGAAAGAAGGAAAGAUUGGUGGUCCAAUUUCAAGUGAAGAGCAAAAAAAUAUUUUCUAGAAUACCUAUAGAUCUACUAUGGAAAUGACAUCAUUGAAGCCUUGUGGCCGAGGAUACAUGGCUAAGCUGCCUAGCGGUUCUGAAAGACUACAUUCUGAAAUCCAGAGGCAAAAUGCUGAGCUAACCCUCGAGGUUCAUGACUUAAGGUGGCAAAUUGUUGAACAACAGGCAGAGAGGCAAAGAGAACGAGAAGAAGAGCGAGUUGCCAGGGAAAAACAGCUUGAGGAGGAAUGCAUAGCAAGGCAGAGAGAACUUGAGGAGGCUAAGCAAGCAAUGAUGCAUGAUAUUAUGAAUGAGGUUAGGCAAUCAAUGAGGUCGGAUGUUGAGCAGAUAUUGGGAACUCGACGGGAUGAUGCACAUCAGUUUUGCCAAGCAAGUGAUGCUCCAAGAAACAGAACUGGAAAUCGGUCAAGUUCUCUGUUUAAAAAUUCGAGCAUGAUUACUCAACACCAGCUUAUGAAAGCACCUAAACACCAUCGUCGUCCUCCAAGUGAAAAG